AUGAUAGAGGUGCAGUAUUAAAGAGUAAAUUGCUCGAGGAAGAACAAUUCCAGCGACAGCAAUUGAAAGGGAAUUCUGCCGAAGUGAAAUGCGUAUUGUUCACGUGUUUUGCUGGUUUUACAUUUAAGAAAUGUAAGAUUGUCAGAACUUUAUGUUCUGGAGAGCUAUCCU
rnacentral:ncRNA from 1 species